rnacentral:rRNA from 1 species
UGCCGUGGGUGUACGAGACUUGAGAGGAUCUGUCCCUAGUACGAGAGGACCGGGAUGGACGUAUCUCUGGUGGACCUGUUGUCGUGCCAACGGCAUAGCAGGGUAGCUAUAUACGGACGGGAUAACCGCUGAAGGCAUCUAAGCGGGAAACCCACCUAAAAACGAGUAUUCCCUAUCAGAGCCGUGGAAGACUACCACGUUGAUAGGCCGGGUGUGGAAGUGCGGCAACGCAUGUAGCUUACCGGUACUAAUAGCUCGAUCGACUUGAUCAC